rnacentral:rRNA from 1 species
UACGGAGGGGAGCUAGCGUUGUUCGGAAUUACUGGGCGUAAAGCGCACGUAGGCGGCUUUGUAAGUUAGAGGUGAAAGCCCGGGGCUCAACUCCGGAACUGCCUUUAAGACUGCAUCGCUUGAAUCCAGGAGAGGUGAGUGGAAUUCCGAGUGUAGAGGUGAAAUUCGUAGAUAUUCGGAAGAACACCAGUGGCGAAGGCGGGUCUCUGGGCCGAAAUUGACGCUGAGGAGCGAAAGCGUGGGGAGCAAACAGG